rnacentral:tRNA from 1 species
GUUUCUGUAGUAUAGUGGUUAUCAUGUUUGCCUCACAUGUGAAAGACCCUUGGCUCGAGACUGGAGGGAAACA